rnacentral:rRNA from 1 species
UGGGGAAUAUUGGACAAUGGGCGAAAGCCUGAUCCAGCAAUGCCGCGUGAGUGAUGAAGGCCUUAGGGUUGUAAAGCUCUUUUACCCGGGAAGAUAAUGACUGUACCGGGAGAAUAAGCCCCGGCUAACUCCGUGCCAGCAGCCGCGGUAAUACGGAGGGGGCUAGCGUUGUUCGGAAUUACUGGGCGUAAAGCGUACGUAGGCGGCUUUGUAAGUUAGAGGUGAAAGCCCGGGGCUCAACCCCGGAAUAGCCUUUAAGACUGCAUCGCUUGAACGUCGGAGAGGUGAGUGGAAUUCCGAGUGUAGAGGUGAAAUUCGUAGAUAUUCGGAAGAACACCAGUGGCGAAGGCGGCUCACUGGACGACUGUUGACGCUGAGGUACGAAAGCGUGGGGAGCAAACA